UACAGAGGUCUCAAGCGUUGUUCGGAUUCGUUGGGCGUAAAGGGUGCGUAGGUGGCAUGGUAAGUCGGAUGUGAAAUCCCGGGGCUCAACCCCGGAACUGCAUUCGAUACUGCUGCGCUAGAGUACUGGAGAGGAGAUUGGAAUUUACGGUGUAGCAGUGAAAUGCGUAGAUAUCGUAAGGAAGACCAGUGGCGAAGGCGGAUCUCUGGACAGUUACUGACACUGAGGCACGAAGGCCAGGGGAGCAAACGGG
rnacentral:rRNA from 1 species